CAGCAUGACUGUAGCAAUACAGUUGAUGGCGACCGGCAAACGGGUGCGGAACACGUACACAACCUUCCUUUUAGUGGAGAAUAGCCCAGGGAAACUUGGAUUAAUACUCCGUAACAUAUAGAAGUGGCAUCACUUUUAUAUUAUAGCAGCAAUGCGCUAGAAGAUGGGUGUGCGGCUGAUUAGAUAGUUGGCGGGGUAACGGCCCACCAAGUCGACGAUCAGUAACUGGUGUGAGAGCACGACCAGUCACACGGGCACUGAGACACGGGCCCGACUCCUACGGGAGGCAGCAGUAAGGAAUAUUGGUCAAUGGACGCAAGUCUGAACCAGCCAUGCCGCGUGGAGGAUGAAGGUCCUCUGGAUUGUAAACCUCUUUUAUCUGGGAAGAAACCCAUCUUUUCUAAGAUGGCUGACGGUACCAGGUGAAUAAGCACCGGCUAACUCCGUGCCAGCAGCCGCGGUAAUACGGAGGGUGCAAGCGUUAUCCGGAUUCACUGGGUUUAAAGGGUGCGUAGGUGGGCAAGUAAGUCAGUGGUGAAAUCUCCGGGCUUAACCCGGAAACUGCCAUUGAUACUAUUUGUCUUGAAUACUGUGGAGGUCAGCGGAAUAUGUCAUGUAGCGGUGAAAUGCUUAGAUAUGACAUAGAACACCAAUUGCGAAGGCAGCUGGCUACACAAAUAUUGACACUGGGGCACGAAAGCGUGGGGAUCAAACAGGAUUAGAUACCCUGGUAGUCCACGCCCAAAACUAUGGAUACUCGACAUUUGCGAUAAACUGCAAGUGUCUGAGCGAAAGCAUUAAGUAUCCCACCUGGGAAGUACGAUCGCAAGAUUGAAACUC
rnacentral:rRNA from 1 species